GUUUGACGUAAUUUCAUUGCUGAACUUCGUGAUACAGCACUUUAAUUUCAAUUUAUAAUUACUCAAGACUCAUUGUCUUGAGAUGGCUGAGUCCUUUAAACAGUGGUUGGAGGCAGGGAAAGACCUGGCAGACGAGUUGUCAUCAAAAGUACCCCCAACGAAAAAAAAGCGCAAGACAGCAGGGGGCUCAAAUGUUACCUGGAGGAAGCGGGAACAGGAUGGGACGAUUAUACCGCAACGUAUGAGAAAAACUCAAUCUGUUAAAUCUGGCCACACUAGUCAGUUUUCAGAAGCUGAGGUGUCACAGACUGAUGAUGAUCCUUCAGAGCACCCAAAUCUUGGUAUGCAUAUUAAACUCUGAUAGUUUAAAUAAGCUUGUAUCUUUAGAAUUACCAUUAAACUAUGAAUAUCAAUCUUGCUGCCUACUAUUAUGAUGCAUACUCAGUGACAAAGCCAUCUAAGAGAUAAUUUUUCUUUGUUAAAAUACAUUGCUGUCUCUGUAUUUUACAUUAUCAUAUUUCUUUAAAUAUUUUUCUUUAGAGCAACAUCUUCAG